rnacentral:misc_RNA from 1 species
AGCCGCGGUAAUUCCAGCUCCAAUAGCGUAUAUUAAAGUUGUUGCAGUUAAAAAGCUCGUAGUUGAACUUCGGGAUCAAUUAGUUGGUCAUGCCUUGGUAUGUACUGAUUUUAUUGGUUCUCACCUUCUAAAGAACUAUAAUGUCAUUUAUUUGAUGUUAUAGGGAAUUAGGACUGUUACCUUGAAAAAAUUAGAGUGUUUAAAGCAGGCUCACGCUUGAAUACAUUAGCAUGGAAUAAUGAAAUAGGACAUCGCAUUCUAUUUUGUUGGUUUCUAGGAUCGAUGUAAUGAUUAAUAGGGAUAGUUGGGGGCAUUAGUAUUCAAUUGUCAGAGGUGAAAUUCUUGGAUUUAUUGAAGACUAACUACUGCGAAAGCAUUUGCCAAGGAUGUUUUCAUUAAUCAAGAACGAAAGUUAGGGGAUCGAAGACGAUCAGAUACCGUCGUAGUCUUAACCAUAAACUAUGCCGACUAGGGAUCGGAUGAUGUUGAUUUUUUAAUGACUCAUUCGGCACCUUACG